UGAGUCUUAAGUUAUAUAAACUAAAGGCCUUCAAAGCCUUAUAAGAGCCCUUCAGACUU
rnacentral:tRNA from 1 species